UACGAAGGGUGCAAACGUUGCUCGGAAUUAUUGGGCGUAAAGCGCACGUAGGCGGCUUUGCAAGUCCCAUGUGAAAUCCCACGGCUUAACCGUGGAAGUGCAUGGGAAACUGCAGAGCUUGAGUACUUAAGAGGAUCGCGGAAUUCCCGGUGUAGAGGUGAAAUUCGUAGAUAUCGGGAGGAACACCAGUGGCGAAGGCGGCGAUCUGGGAAGAUACUGACGCUGAGAAGCGAAAGCGUGGGGAGCGAACAGG
rnacentral:rRNA from 1 species